UACGGAGGGCGCAAGCGUUGUUCGGAAUUACUGGGCGUAAAGCGCGUGUAGGUGGCCUGAAAAGUCGGGUGUGAAAUCCCGGAGCUCAACUCCGGAACUGCAUCCGAUACUGCCAGGCUCGAGUCUCGGAGAGGAUGGCGGAAUUUCCGGUGUAGAGGUGAAAUUCGUAGAUAUCGGAAGGAACACCAGUGGCGAAGGCGGCCGUCUGGACGAUGACUGACAAUGAGACGCGAAAGCGUGGGGAGCAAACAGG
rnacentral:rRNA from 1 species